rnacentral:lncRNA from 1 species
UUUUUUUUUUUUUUUUUUAAGCAUUUGUGUUUGUAUAGCCACAUCCAAAGCAGCAUUGUUCACAAUAGCCAAGAGGUGGAAACAACCCAAGUGUCUGUGGACAGAUGAACAGAUAAACAAAAUGUGGUCUAUACAUCUGAUGGAAUAUUAUUCAGACUUAAAAUGGAAAGAAAUCCUGACCUGUGCUCCAACAUGGGUAAACCUUGAGCACAUUAUGCCGAGUGAAAUAAGGCAGUCACAAAAAGGCAGAGACUGUGUGAUUCCACUUACCCAAUAUAUCAAGAGUAGUCAGACUCAUGGCAACAGCAAGCAGAACAGUGGUUACCAGGACCUGAAGGGGGGAAUGGGAAGCUGUUGUUUAAUAGGUAGAAUUUCAGUUUUGCAAGAUGAAAAGUUGCACAACAAUGUGAAUGUGCUUAACACUUAAAUAUGGGUAAGGUGGCAAAUUGUCUGUUAUUUACCACAAUUUUUAAAAAAGAGUGCAUCUGUGGAUUUGCUGUCAUCAGUUGAGUGGGAUGUGGACAGCUCUGGUUUCCAUACCUUUGGAUCCUACACAUAUGGGACAGUCUGAGGGGCUAGCACUCAGAGCUCCAUGCAGCUGUGAUGGGAAGUGCUCAAAGCCUCUAGUCUUCCUGCAGGAGGCAGGUGUGCCAGGGAUGGGAGUCCUUGGCAGUUGGAGUGGAUGACUUCGCGGCAGAUAUGGAAGGAGCCUGUUGAGACAACUCAGCUCAGAGUUCCUGCAGAGUUGAGCAGGGAGCCUGUGCCUGAGAAUUCUUAGCAGUGUCAAGAAGGGGUCAGCACAGAACUGCUCUUCCCCUGUGAGGCCCAAACAAACCAGUCUUUUCUUUCUCAUCUGUUUGCCGUCCUGUUCCUUGCUCGGAUUUGGCUAAAGGCCCUUUGAGAUAGCAGGAAAGUUAUAAAUGUUGAUGUUCCCUAUGAUAGGCUGAAUAAUGGCCCUAAAAAAUAUCCAGAUCUUAAUUCCUGGCCCCUGUGAAUGUUACUUUAUCUGGCAGAGGAGACUUGCACCCAGGAUUGAAUCAAGGAUCUUGCGAUGGGGAGAUUACCUUGGAUUAUCUGGAUAGAUCCCAAAUGUAACUGCACACUGUGUCCUUUAGAGGUGAGCAGAAGAAGACUGGACACAAAAGAGCGAAUGCAGUGUGAGAUUUGAAGCUGCAACUCUUCUGGCUCUGAAGAUGGAGGAAGGUUCCCCCAAAGCAAGAAAUACAGGAGCACAGCUCCUGAAGCUGGGAAGGACAAGGAAAGGACUCUCCCCUAGAGCCUUGGGAAGGAGUGAUGCCUUAAUUUCAUCCCAGUGAAACUAGUUUCAGACUUCAGACUCCCAACUCUGAGAGAAUCAAGGUGUGUUGUCUUAAGCCACGAAAUUUGUAGUAAUUUUUGAUAGCAACCCUACGAAACUAAUAUACCCUUCAUGGUAGGCUGGCUGGCCCAUGCCCUCCUUCAUUCCAACAGGCUUCAGAUCCCAUGGAAAGGGAUGAAUGGGGCAUCUAGAGGUUCUUAAGUGUACCUUGCAUUCCUUAGGGAUCUCUACUGGGAUGCAGGGAAGCAAAGGCCUGGGGAUGCAGCAUUGGAAGUCCCCCAGCAGGGAGAGAGUCAGUAUCGCCCUGGGUCCCUGAGAACUUGGAAACAGGCUAAAGUAGUCCCAGGAUGAGCAGGGUCAUGUGCAGGAGCAAAGAGAAAGCUCAGAGUGCUGGUGGCGGCAAGAGCCAGUGCAGACAGAUGUCUCAGGACAACCAGGCCCAGAGCCAAAGUUCACAACCUCCAGAAGACAGGGCAUAACUGCCCACAUGGGAAUCCUUCUAACUCAUUCCCCCAUCCUCCCUGAGAGUCCUGGCUGGAGAGGCCCCGGGCAGGGCCUGGAAACCCUACACUGCAGCCCUGUCACAGCUGCGGCUGGUGAGCACUCUCCUCUCCUCUCCGUGUGAGUGCUAAUGUCCCUCUCCUCAUGGGGUCUUCUGAGGAACUUCAUUGCUUUUGUCCCCUGAUCACUGUGAAUUUUUCUCUCACUUAUUUUCUGUCUUUCCUUGAUUGUCUGUGAGCUGCCUCAAAGGCUCUGUGUGGCAGCAGGACAGAUUGAUAAAUGGUUACUUUUUUAAAAAUUUUUCAGAAAAAGAAAGGGUAAGGACACUCCUCACCCCUGGUUUCACCUCACCUCCACUAAAUGAACCCAAGAGAUGAAGAAGAAAUCAGCCAGAUUAUAUGCAUUCCAGUUCUCUAUUAGCACUUAACAGAUUAUCCCUGAAUUUAAGACCACCAUUUUCUUUUGUCUGAAAUCUUGUGGGACAGGAAUUCGAGAAGGGCUUGGCUGGACAGUUCUUGCUUGGAGUCUGUCAUGCAAUUUCACUAAGAUGACUGCUGGGGCCAAAGUCAUCUGAAGGCUUGACUGGGUUGGAGCUCAAAGACAGCUUCACUGGCGUGAUGUCAGCUGAGCGCUGGGAAAUCAGUGGGCUGCCAGCUGGAGCAUUUAUGCAGAGCCUCUCCACGUGGCUUGGGCUUCCUCCCAACAUGGUGGCCUCAGAGAACUGAGGGGUUUUUUAUACUUAGUUUCAGAACUCUGAAAGUGUCCUAAUAUAUAAAAUCUUUACUGCCUUUAAAAAACAACAACAACAACAACUUGGGACACCUGGGAGGCUCAGUGGUUGAAUGCCUGCCUUUGGCUCAAGCCAUGACCCCGGGGUCCUGGGAUUGAGUCCCAUAUCAGGCUUCCUACAUAGAGCCUGCUUCUCCCUCUGCCUAUGUCUCUGCCUCUCUGUCUCUGUGUCUCAUGAAUAAAUAAAAUCUUAAAAAAAAAAAAAAAAAGAAAACUUUCAAGGAGCUUGGGUGGCUCAGUCAGUUAAGCAUCCAACUUUUAAUUCAGCUCAGGUCAUGAUCUCAGGGUCGUGGGAUUCUCUCCCUCUCCCCCACCAUCCUGCUCUCUCGCUCUCUCUCUCUCUCAAACAACUAAAUAAAUCUUAAAAAAAAAAAAAAAAAACUUUCUUGAGACAAAAUUCAUAUACCAUAAAAUGUAAAAUUUUAUUUUUUAUAAGAUUUUAUUUAUUUGACAGAGAGAGAGACAGCACAAGCAGGGGAAACUGCAGGCAGAGGGAGUGGGAGAAGCAGGCUCCCCAUCAAGCAGGGAGCCCAAUAAAGGGACUUGAUCCUAGGAUCCUGGGAUCAUGACCUGAGGGGAAGGCGGACACUUAGCCAACUGAGCCACCCAGGUGCCCCAAAGUGUAAAAUUUUAGUAUAUCCACAGAGUUGUGCAACCACCACCACUAUCUAAUCUCAGAGUAUUUGUAUCGAAAGAAAGAAAGAAACCCCAUCCCCCCCUCUCCAGACCUGCCCUGGCAGUGGAAGCACUUGGCGCCUCUGUGUUACCAGCUGAGCCCCAUGUGCUGGCCAUUCUUCCUGGGUCUACCUGAAGCUGGCCCAAGGCCCCUAGCUCUGGGCCCUCAGUUCUCACUCCUUCUUCUAGGCUGAGAUAGUCAGUGGGUAGGGGGAGGGCAGCCCUGCUUUUCCUGGUGCUUCUCCAUCAAUUCUUUUCUCACUUCUGCCAGAAGCUGCCAAAACCUGCCAAAACUCUCGAGACAAACAAAACUGUCAUGUCUAACAGGCUGCUUGGGUUUGUACCACUUCCUUCCUCUGAAGCAAUAAAGCACAAGCCAUGUACCUGCUGGGAUUCAUUCAUUCAAUAAAUAUUUAUUAACAGUCUGCUUUAUGACAUGAACUAUUUCAGGAACUGCGGUGCCUUCCUGAACAGAAAUACAGAAAUCCCUGUUCCCCUGGAUCUAUUUGAGCGGAGAGAAAGGAACAAUGAAUAACCAAACUAAAUCGUACGUCACAAGGUGAGAAGUACUAUGGGGCCAUUGGGCAGAACAAGCAGGACAGGGAAUGCGAGAGGGCUGGCAGUUUUAAACAGGAUAGUCAGGGUUGGCCUCACCAAGAGAGGGACAUUCCAGAAAGACAAGGGGGAAAUGCAGAGAGAAAAGCAUAUGUGAAAAACUCUUUGCUGGCUCUCUCCUUUGUCCCUGAAUAAAUUCCUGACUUUAAACAAGGCCUUUGGCUUGUUCAUGGCCUGGAUCCUGCUUCCAUCCAGUCUCACCAACACAAAGUCCACUACAUAAACAUAUACACAGGGCAGCCCGGGGGGGUUCAGCGGUUUAGUGCUGCCUUCAGCUGAGGGCGUGAUCCUGGAGACCCUGGAUCGAGUCCCACGUUGGGCUUCCUGCAUGGAGCCUGCUUCUCCCUCUGCCUGUGUCUCUGCCUCUGUGUGUGUGUGUGUCUCUCAUGAAUAAAUAAAUAAAAUAUUUUUAAAAAUUUAAAAACACAUGCACACACAAAAGCACACACAAUGCGUGCGCUCUGUGUCCGCACUCUGACCUGCCUUGAAUGUGUGUGCUCUCCCUGUGUCCCAUGCAGCAGAUGCGAAAUGCUACUCACAGCAUAAACAUGAAAUAUCAGAGGGUUCGUGGGAGAAUAUAGGAGGCUCGCCAGAAUGGAGCAACAUGGAAAAUAUACAAAAGUCCUAGCAACAGGGCCGCCUGGCUGGCUCAAUCUGAAGAACAUGCAUCUCUGCAUGGAUCUUGGGGAUGGGAGUUUGAGCCCUACACGGGGUGUGGAGCCUACUUAAGGAAAAAAAAAAAGUCCUAGCCAUAAAGUGAGGCUUCCAACCUCAAGCUCACUUAUCACUACAGAUCACUGGCAUGUGAAGGGGCACUUAGAGGUCAUCCAUUCCACCCCUCAGUGGGGCCCAGAGAGGGAUGGUGGCAUUCUUGGGGUCACACAGCCUUAUCUGCACAUCAAAGUCAGAUAUUCUACAGGAAGAACAUUCUGUGCAUGAAGCUGUUUCAUGAGACUUCAAGUUCCUCUAUUGUCAGGAGAAAUGACCGAUUAGAUUUCCUCUCUACCAACUGACCACGGCUGAGCUCCGCCACAGUUAAAAGGGCCCCUUGUGGAUCUCUGUGGCACCUGAGGCAGCACCAUCUUUCCUGACUGAGGAUUCUUUCUGGGGGUCUCAGUGUGUGCUGGAAACACAAAGGUGGGCUCUUUGCUGUUCCUCAGGAGGAGGGGACUGUCAAAACAGAAUCCAGAAAGAAUCGUGCCACAGACCAAGACUUGGCCCUCUGUGGUGUGAUCGUAUGAGUUGGGAUUCUAUGGUUGGCACCAAAUUCUCUGCCUAGGAGCCAGAGGAGGGGAGUCUCUGGUGGCUCAGAAAGAAAAGGAGCACUUUAGAAUUUCAGGGCUAAAGUGUGAUAAGCAUAACACACAUAAGGAAGUUAGAACUAAGUGUGAAGGUCAUCAGAUCGUGACAAAGCCAACAAAAACAGCCAAAUGAAUAAAGCUGUGUUGUCAAUCCUUUUACAGGGGGAUGGAGGUGGGGACAAGAGACUGUGAGCCUGCUUCUUAUGUCUACUUCCCCAAACCACCAAAUCCCUUCCAUGCUCUUGGGGCCCAGAUGCUUCAAAACAGGAGCAUAGGGAAAGAGAGUAAAAAAAUAAAUAAAACAAGAUGAAACCAGAGAGGGAGACAAACCUUAAGAGACUCUUAAUCAUAGGAAACAAACAGGGUCGCUGGACGGGAGGUGGCUGGGAGGAUGGCGUAACUGGAUGAUGGACAUUAAGGAGGGCAUGUGAUGUGAUGAGCACUGGGUGUUAUGUAAGGGUGAUGAAUCAUUGACCUCUACCUCUGAAGCCAAUAAUACAUUAUAUGUUGAUUAAUUGAAUUUAAAAAGAAAAGAAUAUACAUAAGUCCUUCUCCCCAUUGCUUCCUCCAUGGGCUAGUGUCUCCCAGACCUCCUCAUGGUGUCAGUCCGAUAUUCUUUCCCUGAGACUGUCCUAUCCCUGACUUCCCUGUAACCCCCACUCUGGUUAAGAUUGAGGAUUUUAGAAGCUGCCAGACCCUGAGCAAGUGUCUUGACCUUUUGCAAUCUGUUUCCGGUCCAGAAGCAUUUGUGCUAGUGAUGACAAGGCCCCCCAUUUAUUGAGCAAGCUCCCACUGCAAGGUUCUGUGCUGAAAAAUUAACAUAGAAGUCUUCAUUUAAAACUUACAACACCCCUAUAACAUAAAUUCUGUUAUAAUUUUCAUUUUAUUGACUAGGAAACCAAGGGUCAGAAACAUAAAACCACUUGCCUGAGGUCUCAUAGCCAAUACCUGCUGGCUCAGGGUUUGAACCGUCAUACUCCAGGCUCAAGUCUCUGGUAAGGUCUCUCUGAGGAUUCCCUAUUCCCACAGGAAGACUGGCAAAGGGUUGCUAAGUAUAUAUAAAAAUGAAAUACUGCUAAAGGUCACUCACUGGGGGGUGCCUGGAUGGCUCAGCAGCUUAAGUGUCUGCCUUCUGCUCAGGCCAUGAUCCUGGGGCCCUGGGACCUAGUCCCAUAAUGUGCUCCCUGCUCAGUGCGGAGUCUGCUUCUUUCUCUCCUCUCCCCCUGCUCAUGCUGUUUCUCUCUCAAAUAAAUAAAUAAAUAAAUAAAAUCUUUAAAAAAAAAAGAGAGAGAUUUAAAAAAAAAAAAAAAAAAA